UACGGGGGGGGCAAGCGUUGUUCGGAAUUACUGGGCGUAAAGGGCGCGUAGGCGGCCUGCUAAGUCGGAUGUGAAAUCCCCAGGCUUAACCUGGGAACUGCAUCCGAUACUGGAUGGCUUGAAUUCGGGAGAGGGAUGCAGAAUUCCAGGUGUAGCGGUGAAAUGCGUAGAUAUCUGGAGGAAUACCGGUGGCGAAGGCGGCAUCCUGGACCGACAUUGACGCUGAUGAGCGAAAGCUAGGGGAGCAAACGGG
rnacentral:rRNA from 1 species